rnacentral:rRNA from 1 species
AUUGAACGCUGGCGGCAUGCCUUACACAUGCAAGUCGAACGGCAGCGCGGGAGCAAUCCUGGCGGCGAGUGGCGAACGGGUGAGUAAUAUAUCGGAACGUGCCCAGUAGUGGGGGAUAGCCCGGCGAAAGCCGGAUUAAUACCGCAUGAGACCUGAGGGUGAAAGCGGGGGAUCGCAAGACCUCGCGCUACUGGAGCGGCCGAUAUCAGAUUAGCUAGUUGGUGGGGUAAAGGCCUACCAAGGCAACGAUCUGUAGUUGGUCUGAGAGGACGACCAGCCACACUGGGACUGAGACACGGCCCAGACUCCUACGGGAGGCGGCAGUGGGGAAUUUUGGACAAUGGGCGCAAGCCUGAUCCAGCAAUGCCGCGUGCAGGAAGAAGGCCUUCGGUU